rnacentral:rRNA from 1 species
GAUGAACGCUGACAGAAUGCUUAACACAUGCAAGUCAACUUGAAUUUGGGUUUUUUAACUUAGAUUUGGGUGGCGGACGGGUGAGUAACGCGUAAAGAACUUGCCUCACAGCUAGGGACAACAUUUGGAAACGAAUGCUAAUACCUGAUAUUAUGAUUAUAAGGCAUCUUAGAAUUAUGAAAGCUAUAUGCGCUGUGAGAGAGCUUUGCGUCCCAUUAGCUAGUUGGAGAGGUAACGGCUCACCAAGGCGAUGAUGGGUAGCCGGCCUGAGAGGGUGAACGGCCACAAGGGGACUGAGACACGGCCCUUACUCCUACGGGAGGCAGCAGUGGGGAAUAUUGGACAGUGGACCAAGAGUCUGAUCCAGCAAUUCUGUGUGCACGAUGACGUUUUUCGGAAUGUAAAGUGCUUUCAGUUGGGAAGAAAAAAAUGACGGUACCAACAGAAGAAGUGACGGCUAAAUACGUG